CUGAGCUGACUGUGGCACUGUGAUGUGCAUUUUCUGUCAAGCGGAGCCAUAUCUGAGGAGCCUGAAUGUUGUGGGAAGUCCAUGCUAAGGCUCUCUGGAAGAUGAACUAGAAACCAGGCAGCUUAAUGGCUCAGUCUAAUAGCUCUAUCCGAAAUCUGUUCUGCUGGCACAACAACUGAGAACGAAAGGGGCAAGUGAGGGAAUCCAGACCAGAGCACAGACCAGACUCUGCCCUGAGUUAGCUGACCUGCAGCUCCAGUCAGCUAUAAUAGCUGCCAUGGAAGCACCAACUCCUGAGUGCCCAGGGAAGAGAUCUUUCCUCUCCUCUCACAUCUGGUCGACAGAAAUUCGAAGUGAAUUGGGAGCUACCUCGUCCUCCAGCAUUUCUGUGAAAUGGCCCAGAGGAAGUGCAUGGUCUGGGCAGCUGGGAACGAACAUGCAGCCUCCGUCUACAAACCAUCUCCCCAGUUCUCUCCAUCUUCAUGUCUUCUGCUUCUGUCUCCAUUGGAGAAAUAAGAUGAAUGUGAAUCCUGGUCCCUUUCCAAUUCCAAGAAGACCUUGUAUUGAUAAACAUGUCUAAAAAUCAAAGUGCUUGCCCAGGGCAUUCUUCUGUUAUUCAGUUGCUAACUGUGGACUUGGCCGACUGUCAGCUGCCUUGAAUACCCAAAUUUUGGCCAGUAGGUGAUGUCUGUAUUUCAGAUCUUCAUUUUCGUGUGGCAUGUCCACUAAUCUAAGCUAAUGUACAUCAUCUAGUGGGUUUAUCACCUCUGUGUCAACAGAAGAAAUAACAAGCUAUGCAUGUGUGCCAGUUAUUUGUGUGAUUGCCCUAGGUUCACUAUGAGCCAUGUUUUACAAAUUUCCAUCAAUAAACUGUAACA